ACAUUUUUCAGAGGUAAUGCUAUCGAACACUUAAUAGACUACAGUAUAGUGCAAACAUAAAUUUUACAUGCACUGGGAGGCCAAAAAAUUCACGUGACUCACUUCAUUGCAACACUGGCUUUAUUGCAAUGGUUUGGAACCGAACCCUCAGUCUCUCCAAGGUACGCCUGUACUUCUGCAUUUGUUGAAGCCCUUCUUCCCACCCUGUGUUGUGUGGGUGGAUUGACAAUACCUUUUUCCUCUCUAGUGUGUCUUCAUCUGUAGGUAGACACCCAGCAAGUAGUGCCCAAGGAGGGUACCAAUGAUGCAGCCACCUCUGCCCCUGGGCCUGUCCCUCCUCAGACUUAGAAUGCAACCUGGAUCUCAAAGAACGUUGAAGGAAUUCUCUUGCAGGCAUUCAGGUGAUGGACCCAGCACUGCACCAGUUAGUGAAGAACUGGGCCUCAUCCCAACCCUUCCCUGUCAUUCUAGGGGCAAGGCGUCAAGUUCUAUGACUGGAGAGAUGUGCUGUAUGUAUAUGCUCUUCCCAUAAUCCCCUUUUCCAUUCCUCUCCCUUCUCAUGUUCUGUCUUAUUAACCGUCUGCCCCAAUGUGAUAUUAUGAUUGAUAAGAAUUCUAUGUAUUCUUUGUCCCCUUUACUGGCACAGAGCUCCUAAAACCCUUGGAAUUUCCUCAGUGCAGAAGGCAAUGAAAGUGUCUUUUGUUAUGUUAAAGAGACGGCUUUUGGAAAGCCCCUAGGUUAGAAAAGGAUGGGGGUUGGUUGCCAGGAGAUCCAUCCACGUGAUUCGAGGCUGGCAUUUUCAGUCCCAUCUCCCCACCCACCUCCAGGAUGGGGAGAGGGGCUGGAGGUUGAAUCCAUCGUCAAUGGCCAGUGAUUUCAUCAAUCGUGCCUAUGUAAUGAAGCCUUCAUAAAAAUCCAAAGGACAGGGUUCAGAGAGCUUCUGGGUUGAGGAAGCCAUUGAAAUUUGAGGAGAGUGGUGGGCUCAGAGAGCGUGGAAACUCGGUGCCCUUCCCCCAUACCUUGCCCGGUGCAUCUCCUCCAUCUGGCUGUUCCUGAGUUAUAUCCUUUCUUAAUAAACCGGUGAUCAGGUAAGUCAAAUGUUUCUCGAGCUCUGUAAGCUGCUCUAGCAAAUUAAUCGAACCUAAGGAGGGGGCCAUUGGAAACUCCAGUUUACAGCCAGUUGGUCAGAAGCCCAGGUGACAACCUGGUCUAGCGAUGGCAUCUGAAGUGGGGUGGGGGUGUGGAGAGUGAGCAUUCUUGCAGGACUGAGCCCUUAACUUGUGGAAUAUGAUGCUCUCUCCAGGUAGACGGUGUCAGAAUUGGGUUGAUGUGUAGGACACCCAGCUGAUGCCGGAGAACUUCUUGGUGGUAUGGGGAAAAGCUCUUCCACACAUUGUAACUGGUGGCCAGAACCAUUUUACCCAGCAUGGCCCCAACUGCCCAUUUCCUUGGAAAUACCAGACCUCUCUAUUGAAAUGAUCAAAUUCCAAAUCUCUUCUGUCUUAAAAAAAUUGUGUCACUUCCACCGUCCAGGGAGCCUUGGAGGAAAGGGUAGACUCUGUGUCACUGUAAGUUGAUUCUGCGAGACUUGGUGAAUGAUCCCUCAGUGUAAGUGCCACCCCUUAGACCAAGGCAGGGGGUAGGGGACUCUUCCACUCAGAGAUGAAAAAGAAAACCCACCAUGAAAAGUCUUUCCCCCAGACCCUCAUUUGGAUUCCCUGUGAUGGUCAUACUCUUUCUGGUAACAUAACUCUGGCCUCAUUUCUUGUAAACAACCCUGGUCUUAUUUUGUUUAGAGAUUGUCAACUGAAAAGAGAAACUCACAGACUAAAAGUUGAGAAGUAUGUUUUAUUUGGCAGUCUUUCUGAGGACUUCAAGCCUGGAAGACAGCCUGUCCGAUCGCUCUGAGGGACUGCUCCAAAGAGCUGUGAUUGUGACUAUAUGCCAAGUCGUGCAAGGCUUCCAAGCAAGUCAUCAAGCCUCUCGGGGGCUUAGGAGCGCAGCCAACAUACUCCUCCAUCCUGCUUUCUUCCCUGCCCCAUGAUGAGACUUCUUUUCAGCCACUCACCAUUUUCCUAGACAUGCCCAGAUAUGCCUGGACCACAGUGAUGAAUGCAGCUGCUUCAAGCAUGCACUUUUCAUCUUCACGGUGAUGAAAUGACUGCUGCAUCUUCGAGUAUCACAUCUUUAUUCCAGAUGGAAGGAGAAAGAAAAAUGAGAAAAGGUCAAAAGUAUGAAGAACGUGCUCACCACACACCAGACCUUGCACCAUGGUUCCCACUUGUAUCUCAUUGGCCAAGAUUGCGACACAUGGCCACUGCUUGCUGCAAUGGCUAGAAACCCAUUAUGUGUUAACUGUGCACUGUUUUACACCAGAGAAAAUCAGGGUUCUAUUAGACAGGAAGAAGGGGUGAAUGCUUAUUGGGUAGACAACCAGCCGAAGAUAAAUAAAACAAAAAUAAAUUGAAUAGCGCCUCUUACGAUUAAUCAAACUGAUAAUUUUAUGAAAUAAAAUUCCAUUUUGACCUUUGAAAAAUAAGGUAUUUUUACUUAUUUCAUGAGACAGCAUUGUGAUCCUUGAAGCUAAUUGCACACCAUAAGGACAAUGCAUCUUGUUGAAGAUCAAUUAGGUCACAGUGUUUUAUUUUCAGAUUACUAUCAAACUCCUUGCUGGAGGGAACAUGGAUUGCCCACUCCUGAUGUCUCCUUCCAUGUGCAUGAAUAUCCAUUUAUGUCAGACUCUUUGUUUCUUUCUCAUUAAAUCUGAACAGAGGCUAUAAAAACAGGGGUGCUACUUAUUAUAUCACCACACAUCUUAACACCAUACAUUCUCAUAAG